GUAGGUGAACCUGCGGAAGGAUCAUUACCGAGUUAGGGUCUUUCAGGCCCGACCUCCAACCCUUUGUUUAAACUACCAUGUUGCUUUGGCGGGCCCGUCUUUCGGGACCGCCGGGGGUCUUACGACCCCUGGCCAGUGCUCGCCAGUAGCCUUCUCAAACUCUUUUUAACUAUGUUGUCUGAGUAUAAAUAUAAAUCGUUAAAACUUUCAACAACGGAUCUCUUGGUUCUG
rnacentral:misc_RNA from 1 species